UUUUCUAAUUUAAGUUUUCACUCAAUCGGGAGUUAGAACUUCAGAGCUCUGAGUUGUUCCUCCGAUGCAACUUGUAAGCCAAGGCAGCACCAGGAGCUGGUGGAGGGGAAGGAAAUCGGAAGGCUGAGAUUUAGUUUGACUCCAAAGACCUGAGACUCCAAGGAACCAAUGAUGCUGAAAGCUUAAAGGGGAAAGAAGGUACUGAUGUCAGCUCAAGAACUGGUAAUGCCAAAGAAUAACCCGAGGAGACAUGAAGACCAUGUACACGGACACCUCAAGCAUGAAAAGAGUCCCAAAUAAAGGAGGACAAAUUCUAUUGCUGGGUAAGAAUAUUGCAACCAUGAACCUUUCAACUCUUUCCAAGUUUCUGGUAAUUUACAGAUUAAAUGUAAGCAUACAUUACCUAGAAGUAAAGUACAUGUGGAGAGCUAAGGAAAUUCACAAAAAAAAAAAAAAAAAAAAAAAAAAAAGAAAU